CACAAAUAUAAAUGAAUACAUAGUAUUGAAAAAUACAAAAAUUCAAACUAUGACUGCUCAAAUACAAUACCUUUAGUACUACAUUUAAUGACACUAUAAUCUGUUAAGAGCACCUGUUCAUAUACAUGUACAUUAAUUAAAUGUUUGUUCUACUUGUACUUGAAUUAAUUUAAAUACAUUAACCAAUUGUGCUACUUAUUUUAUUUUCCACAUUUGUUCCCAACAGAAUUUCAAUAAUUGUUAC
rnacentral:lncRNA from 1 species